rnacentral:rRNA from 1 species
GACGAACGCUGGCGGCGUGCUUAACACAUGCAAGUCGAACGGAAAGGCCCUGCUUUUGUGGGGUGCUCGAGUGGCGAACGGGUGAGUAACACGUGAGUAACCAGCCCUUGGCUUUGGGAUAACUUCAGGAAACUGGGGCUAAUACCGGAUAGGAGCUCCUGCUGCAUGGUGGGGGUUGGAAAGUUUCGGCGGUUGGGGAUGGACUCGCGGCUUAUCAGCUUGUUGGUGGGGUAGUGGCUUACCAAGGCUUUGACGGGUAGCCGGCCUGAGAGGGUGACCGGCCACAUUGGGACUGAGAUACGGCCCAGACUCCUACGGGAGGCAGCAGUGGGGAACAUUGCACAAUGGGCGGAAGCCUGAUGCAGCAACGCCGCGUGCGGGAUGACGGCCUUCGGGUUGUAAACCGCUUUCGCCUGUGACGAAGCGUGAGUGACGGUAAUGGGUAAAGAAGCACCGGCUAACUACGUGCCAGCAGCCGCGGUGAUACGUAGGGUGCGAGCGUUGUCCGGAUUUAUUGGGCGUAAAGGGCUCGUAGGUGGUUGAUCGCGUCGGAAGUGUAAUCUUGGGGCUUAACCCUGAGCGUGCUUUCGAUACGGGUUGACUUGAGGAAGGUAGGGGAGAAUGGAAUUCCUGGUGGAGCGGUGGAAUGCGCAGAUAUCAGGAGGAACACCAGUGGCGAAGGCGGUUCUCUGGGCCUUUCCUGACGCUGAGGAGCGAAAGCGUGGGGAGCGAACAGGCUUAGAUACCCUGGUAGUCCACGCUGUAAACGGUGGGUACUAGGUGUGGGGUCCAUUCCACGGGUUCCGUGCCGUAGCUAACGCUUUAAGUACCCCGCCUGGGGAGUACGGCCGCAAGGCUAAAACUCAAAGGAAUUGACGGGGCCCCGCACAAGCGGCGGAGCAUGCGGAUUAAUUCGAUGCAACGCGUAGAACCUUACCUGGGUUUGACAUGGAUCGGGAGCGCUCAGAGAUGGGUGUGCCUCUUUUGGGGUCGGUUCACAGGUGGUGCAUGGCUGUCGUCAGCUCGUGUCGUGAGAUGUUGGGUUAAGUCCCGCAACGAGCGCAACCCUUGUUCACUGUUGCCAGCACGUUAUGGUGGGGACUCAGUGGAGACCGCCGGGGUCAACUCGGAGGAAGGUGGGGAUGACGUCAAGUCAUCAUGCCCCUUAUGUCCAGGGCUUCACGCAUGCUACAAUGGCUGGUACAGAGAGUGGCGAGCCUGUGAGGGUGAGCGAAUCUCGGAAAGCCGGUCUCAGUUCGGAUUGGGGUCUGCAACUCGACCUCAUGAAGUCGGAGUCGCUAGUAAUCGCAGAUCAGCAACGCUGCGGUGAAUACGUUCCCGGG